rnacentral:rRNA from 1 species
GGAAUCUUCCACAAUGGGCGAAAGCCUGAUGGAGCAACGCCGCGUGUGUGAUGAAGGCUUUCGGGUCGUAAAGCACUGUUGUAUGGGAAGAACAGCUAGAAUAGGAAAUGAUUUUAGUUUGACGGUACCAUACCAGAAAAAGACGGCUAAAUACGUGCCAG